ACAGCUCAAAUUUGAAAGCUGCCAACAGGCCGCAUUGUAAUUUGUAGAAGCUGCUUUGGGUGUCGGCCCGGUCUAAGUUCCUUGGAACAGGACGUCAUAGAGGGUGAGAAUCCCGUAUGUGAUCGAUGCCGUUGCCCGUGUAAAGCGCUUUCGACGAGUCGAGUUGUUUGGGAAUGCAGCUCAAAAUGGGUGGUAAAUUUCAUCUAAAGCUAAAUAUUGGCCAGAGACCGAUA
rnacentral:rRNA from 1 species